rnacentral:rRNA from 1 species
UGGGGAAUAUUGGACAAUGGGGGCAACCCUGAUCCAGCGAUGCCGCGUGAGUGAAGAAGGCCUUCGGGUUGUAAAGCUCUUUCACCUGUGACGAUGAUGACGGUAACAGGAGAAGAAGCCCCGGCUAACUCUGUGCCAGCAGCCGCGGUAAGACAGAGGGGGCUAGCGUUGUUCGGAAUGACUGGGCGUAAAGGGCGCGUAGGCGGCUUUACAAGUCAGGUGUGAAAGCCUUGGGCUUAACCCAAGAAUUGCGCUUGAUACUGUAAGGCUAGAGUUCGAGAGAGGAAGGCGGAAUUCCUAGUGUAGAGGUGAAAUUCGUAGAUAUUAGGAAGAACACCAGAGGCGAAGGCGGCCUUCUGGAUCGAUACUGACGCUGAGGCGCGAAAGCGUGGGGAGCAAACAGG